rnacentral:misc_RNA from 1 species
UCAAACUUGGUCAUUUAGAGGAAGUAAAAGUCGUAACAAGGUUUCCGUAGGUGAACCUGCGGAAGGAUCAUUAAUAAAAUGAAAUAUCAAGAAAGGGUUGUAGCUAGCCUCUUACGAGGUAUUGUGCACGCCCUGAUUGAACAUUCAUUAUUACCCUUACUUACACACCCUGUGCACAACCUGUAGCUUGAGAGAGAGAAGGAAGCUUUUCUCUCUGGGCUAUGAAUUUUUAUACACACUUGGUUAUAUAUAAACAAAUUAUAAAAUAUGAAUACACAACUUUCAGCAACGGAUCUCUUGGCUCUCGCAUCGAUGAAGAACGCAGC